CAGUGAAACACCAGUUCUCGUAUGAUAACCAAAGUUAAGCAAUUUUGAGCCUGGUUAGUACCUAGAUGAGUGACUGCUUGGGAAUAACAGGUGCUGUAAG